GGUUGUCUCCGAGGAGGCGCGCGAGGGCCGGCGCGUUGAGCGCGUCGGUGGAGCGCGCAUUUUCCAAGUUGCGGUGAUUCCGUCAGACGCGAAGGCGUUGACCAUCUAAGAGGAGCAGCGGACUCCGGCUUCCCUCCCUUCUUCCACGACUCAUAGACUGAAAACCUUUUUCUUUUUGGAUAGAUUUUUGUCGAUGAGUGUGCGUGCAAUGUCCACAGGAACCCGAAGAGGGCGUCGGCUCUCCUAGCACCGGAGUGACGGGCGGCUGUGAGUUGGCUCCCCACAGCUUUUUGUCCCGGCUUCAAAAAAUGGAGAAGGCCAUGCACUCAGCCAGAUUUCUGUUCUGCUUCCUUUUCACCAAGAUUGACACCCACACGCUCUUCUGGCCAGUUUGAAUGUGAGGUCUGACCUGAAGCUUAUUUACAAUAAUCAUCCGCCUUGGUGCAGA